GAGAGAGAGAGAUAGCGGCUCAGUCCACUGACUUACUGUAUCUGAUGUGUGACUCCCUGAGCUGAAGCAGGGAGGAAGAUUCAUUCUAAGGAGCACUGGGCAAAAGAAAGAGGGGAAAAAAUUCCCAGGGAGGAGGAGGAGGAUACUUGCACGAUGCGCGCAGGAUGUGAUUGCCUCGCACGCCCCAAAGUUUUUGGCCGUGGGAGAGCGCUCCGACCACGGACGGCGUGUGGCGCGCGCGGCUGGAUUCUUCGAGGUGGGAAGGCGCCGUCUCUGAGCAGCCAGUAGCGGAGAGGGCCGCCUCACUUCCUCGCUGCCGGCGCGGGGGGAAGGACCUCACCGCAUCCUCUCCUCUCAACCGGCUGGAAUACGGAGACAUCAAGGGGAUACGUUUCCAGGAGAGCGGGGGUCGUUAACAGCAUCUCGCGGCGGUGAAGGACGUUCUAACCUUGCUCAGAGUAAAAGCGGAGGGAGGGAGAGUUGGAUGAAAAGAAAAAGAAGAAUAAUACUAAAAGAUCGAGGCUCUCUUUCCUCCUGCAAAGCUCCGGCAUCAGUGAUUGGGCAGAACGGUCCAAAUCGCACAGACUAUAGGAUAAGAAAUGGCAUUUCAAGGUUGGUGACCGUGGCUGCUCAGUUGAGGACGUUAUAUACUAUGGAAGUACUUCCAUCGUACACGAGCCCACCUGGGAAACUCGCGUCGGCCUCUUUCCAUUAACACUCAGGAUAUUUGAAGGGACUUUUCCUGUGAUUCCAAUGAAUUCUCAACUUGGAAGCCUUGCAAGGUAAGUCUUUGUGUUCAAAACUUCUUCUGGCCUUCAAGUAAAGUUUAUAAAUGACUGGUUGGGGGAUGAAGCUUAAAGAAUAGGCUUGCACAACAGAAUA
rnacentral:lncRNA from 1 species